AAUAUGCUCCCUCCGUCCGGAAAUACUUGUCGGAGAAAUUGAUGUAUUUAGACAUAUUUUAGUUCUAGAUACAUCCAUUUUUCUGCAUUUGUGUGACAAGUAUUUCCGGACGGAGGGAGUAUAUU
rnacentral:pre_miRNA from 1 species